rnacentral:rRNA from 1 species
CUGAGAGGGCGACCGGCCACAUUGGGACUGAGAUACGGCCCAGACUCCUACGGGAGGCAGCAGUGGGGUAUAUUGCACAAUGGGCGCAAGCCUGAUGCAGCGACGCCGCGUGCGGGAUGACGGCCUUCGGGUUGUAAACCGGUUUUGAUCGGGAGCAAGCCUUCGGGUGAGUGUACCUUUCGAAUAAGCACCGGCUAACUAC